rnacentral:lncRNA from 1 species
GUUUUAAUUUCAUCAUUCGCCGCCUGGAGAGACAAGAUGGCGGAGCUUGCGAAAUCGAAAAUUGGUACUUGAAAGUCAAUGGUUGAUCAUGCUGACCAUCUUUAAUUUAAUGGGGAAAGAUUAACCAAUAUCUGCAGCUGGACAGGCUGUCACCACAGUUCAAUGAUUUAGUUAAGACAAUGAAAUCGAAGAACUUCAUGCUAACACUUGCAUCAGUGGACGUACUUCUUAUUGGAUAGAGAACUUUUCAAGGUCAGUGAUAUUUGUAAUGUUUUAUAUCAAUAUUUUGUUUUGCCUUUUUAGCUCACCUGUCACAUAGUG